UAGCUACUCCCUCCGUCCGGAAAUACUUGUCAUCAAAAUGGAUAAAAGGAGAUGUAUCUAGAUGUAUUUUAGUUCUAGAUACAUCCCUUUUUGUCCAUUUUGAUGACAAGUAUUUUCGGACGGAGGGAGUAUAUC
rnacentral:pre_miRNA from 1 species